CUUGGGCAGAUGUUUGAAUCGGAUGUCACUCAUAAGCUAAUUAGAGAUAUACAUAAUGAGAGACUUAUAAGAUUGAUUAAGCUACGGUUAAAGCUUUUAGAUUUUAAGUACAACCACUGAAUUUAUCUUCAAGGUGAAGUAAGGACAAACAAAAUAAUCAAGUUUGGUGAUGAGAAUAUACACACUACUUAGUCACAACUCCCAAAAACCAAUUGCAUUGAACAACAAACUUAAAAGCAAAAACUAAAGAUCUGUUCAAGAUGCUAAACCUGAAUCCAUUGAUCCGUAAU
rnacentral:lncRNA from 1 species